rnacentral:rRNA from 1 species
GUAAUACAUCGGAACGUGUCUUCUAGUGGGGGAUAACUGCCCGAAAGGGCAGCUAAUACCGCAUGAGACCUGAGGGUGAAAGCGGGGGAUCGCAAGACCUCGCGCUGGAAGAGCGGCCGAUGUCCGAUUAGCUAGUUGGUGAGGUAAAGGCUCACCAAGGCGACGAUCGGUAGCUGGUCUGAGAGGACGACCAGCCACACUGGGACUGAGACACGGCCCAGACUCCUACGGGAGGCAGCAGUGGGGAAUUUUGGACAAUGGGGGCAACCCUGAUCCAGCCAUGCCGCGUGCAGGAUGAAGGUCUUCGGAUUGUAAACUGCUUUUGUCAGGGACGAAAAGGGAUGCGAUAACACCGUAUUCCGCUGACGGUACCUGAAGAAUAAGCACCGGCUAACUACGUGCCAGCAGCCGCGGUAAUACGUAGGGUGCAAGCGUUAAUCGGAAUUACUGGGCGUAAAGCGUGCGCAGGCGGUUCUGUAAGAUAGAUGUGAAAUCCCCGGGCUCAACCUGGGAAUUGCAUAUAUGACUGCAGGACUUGAGUUUGUCAGAGGAGGGUGGAAAUCCACGUGUAGCAGUGAAAUGCGUAGAUAUGUGGAAAAACACCGAUGGCGAAGGCAGCCCUCUGGGACAUGACUGA